rnacentral:sRNA from 1 species
AACAUACAUAUGUACCACAACAACCCUCAAACUUGCGGCCUCUCAAACGAAGAAAAGGAGAUCUGAGAUACCAGGCAAACAGAAGUCAGCCGGUCUCCCUUUUUAAAUUUAUUGGAGCCCCCAAAAGUAUUCAACUCUUUUCUGUGUUCUUUAAUAUUGCUUUCUGUUAAUUUCUGUUCGCCUGGUAGCCCAAAUAUCGGUGUUGAGCGGCACGAAAUUGUUGUAGUAACUGGAUGUUGUUGUAGUUUGUUGUUGAUGGAUAACUCUGCCAUUUCUCGUCCGAUCUGGUCGUGCGAUGGCUUCCUGUGAUUGAACUCUCCUUUUCAACGUUACCCGACAGUCGUGCCCAAGAUACGCAUAUCCCGCUUGAGGCUGGGUCAGUCUGUGGACCCAACAGAUAAUUUUCAAUGAUACAAAAAUAGUGCUUCCAAAUCAAUUUUGUAAAUCCGGGUACUGAUGCUUUUGCCCAUGCAGACCGACCUGGGGGUACUUCUAUUCCUCUGCUGCUGGCUCGGCGGGGGGUAAGUGGUAAGCAAUCGUCUGGGGAAAGAUUCAAGCACUUAUGGAGUGGCUCUGUUUCCCCAUAGUGCUGCGAUGAACAGUUGGUGUACAAGAUGACGAACAUAGAGUGCCUUGGGAACCCGGAUCGUGUGCCAAAUUUCUCCAACUAUCUAAAAGCGGUCAACAUGGACUGUGGUAAGCAGGAAGCUGCCAGGUUCGGCUGCAGGUCUUCAAGAGGGACUAUAGCAACAAGUGGCAGCCUUUCCCGAUAGACGUCUCUAUUAACUUAGGCGACGUGAUGUCUAGGAGGAACUUCCUGCCCUACGGUGUCAUCUUCAGGAAGAUAGCCAAGUGUUUCAGCAACCUCAAUGGCUCCUUCCCA